CUAUUUUUUUAAAAAAUCACUUGAAACUUUUUAUUCUAUUUAGAGUUUUAAUUCAUUUUGCUGUUUCGUGUGAAGAAAAUUUCUAAAUCAAUUUUCCCAUAAAUAGCUAGCCAACAGUCUCAGCAUCAAUUACUGAAAAGAAAAUACAUCUCUUCUUCCAUCUUAAAACUAAACUACCUGAACCAUGCAUACCCUUCAAGCUAUGUCCUUUCUCUUGAAGCUAUGCAUCUAAAAUUAUGAAAAUCUGAUUUACCUUCAUCUCUAUUUACUCGCUACUUGGGUACUCUUUCUCUUUCACCUUACUGGAAACUGGCUUCUGUUCCACAUCAAAAUGCUAUGACUGUUCUCACAAAGUGGUCUGGAGAACAUAAUCUCCUGGGCACUUUUAAAGUCAACCCUUCUGGGCCAAGACAACUGAUAUUGUUGUAUUAGUAUCUAGGA